rnacentral:tRNA from 1 species
AAAGAAUUAGUUAAAUAAUAACAUAAAUUUGUCAAAUUUAAAUUAUCCUUAUAAAUAUUCUUUU